GCCUUCGUGGUGUAAUGGUCAGCACACUGAGCGGUAUUACAGAGGUCCGCGGUUCGAUCCCCGGCGAAAGCA
rfam:Stegodyphus mimosarum contig24356, whole genome shotgun sequence.